UGACAGUACUCCUACGGGGAGGCAGCAGUGGGGGAAUAUUGCACAAUGGGCGCAAGCCUGAUGCAGCCAUGCCGCGUGUGUGAAGAAGGCCUUCGGGGUUGUAAAGCAACUUUCAGUCGUGAGGAAGGUAGUGUAGUUAAUAGCUGCAUUAUUUGACGUUAGCGACAGAAGAAGCACCGGCUAACUCCGUGCCAGCAGCCGCGGUAAUACGGAGGGUGCGAGCGUUAAUCGGAAUUACUGGGCGUAAAGCGCAUGCAGGUGGUUUGUUAAGUCAGAUGUGAAAGCCCGGGGCUCAACCUCGGAAUAGCAUUUGAAACUGGCAGACUAGAGUACUGUAGAGGGGGGUAGGAAUUUCAGGUGUAGCGGUGAAAUGCGUAGAGAUCUGAAGGAAUACCGGUGGCGAAGGCGGCCCCCUCGGACAGAUACUGACACUCAGAUGCGAAAGCGUGGGGAGCAAACAGGAUUAGAUACCCUGGUAG
rnacentral:rRNA from 1 species